CUCACCGCCACCGUACGCGCCCGACACUGACGUUUACGGCGGCGCGCGGAAGUGACGUCAGGCAACGGCACAGCCUGUAGCGGAGAGACCCGGUCCCUACCCCGUCCACCCGGAGGUGGGACAAGGCGGCAGCGCCCCUCCCGGCCGAACGAAGCUCCAUUCCCCCGGAGGCGGGGUCUGUGCAGCCUUGCCGGCUCAGCCCGAGGCGUGAAGGGCCUGAGGCUGGUCGACCUGCCUUCUCCUGGGCUUGAGGGCGGAAGCCGUCCGUGGACUUCUGGGCCCCGCGGCGGGGGGCGGGGGUCUGGAGGCCGCGUUGCCUGACCUCGGGCUUAACACCCGGAAUCCUGCGUCCCCCCAGGCUCCACCUCCAUUUGGGACAUCCGACUGUUUCACCAAGAUGAUGUUGGUACAACUAGUGAGAUGCAGCACACCACCCUUUGCCUCUGGAAGAGAAACCAGACUGCAAGGGGACUGAGUACAGAAGCUAACGGAACUCAGAAGGACAAGACAAAAAAGCAUAAAUGCACCCGACUGGACAGUGCUUGGGGUCCCCUCUGCAGACCCCACGUCUUCAAAAUUUCCAGUUUUCUUUUUCACCGU